CAUUCUCUUUCCAAAACUUCCAAAACCAUGGAAAGUUAAAGAUUCAUUUUGGGAACAUUCAAAAUCACCCAUCCCACAAUGGAAUUUUAUAACAAAGUUUCUCGACAGAGUCCCAAGUCUUUAGGGGAGAGUAGCAUAACUCAUUUCGCCGAAUUCAUUUAAAAUCAUUAAAACCUUGGCAUUCCGAUUUGAGUAAUAAAAUAGGAUCUAAGCCAAACCGAGUCACGUAAUCAUUUACUUCUUUCAAAGCCGUUUCCUUUACUUAGGCAAAACCAGCUUCAACCCCCAUGAUAAAUUCUAAAGCAUUUCAACUGUUCAAAAUUGUUUUAGUCUUGCAAAAGUUCAGAGUUCAAAGAGUACUUAAAACCUUUCUCAAAACAUUUAAAAAUAAAAGUUGUCAAUAGACAUUCAGGUUCUUUCAAAGUCAUUGAAACUUCUUUAAUUGAAACCCCCAAGUCAAAUUCAAAGGCAUAAACCCUUUUCGCAUUCAAACAGCUUUAAAACACAAGUUUCAUCUAAAUAACUUUCUCUUGAAAGAGAUACAAUGCCUUUCUUAAGAAUCAAGACUAAAUCACAAUUUCCCCUUUACUAACUCAUUUCGAAAGCAUGAAUCAUCCUUUUCUUGAUAAUUCAAAUAAAAUAGCAGAAGUCUUUAACUCAUCAUUUUCCAGAUAACAUUUCAAUAAAGACUCGAAUUUUAUAGAAAUUUCGGCAGCACCUCCCCUAAAACUUGGACUUUUGCCACCCGGUUCGGGUCCCAACUAAACCGUUUCUCAUUCCUUUUCAACAGCUCAAAACCAGAAAUCAAUUCAAAAGCAAGCUAAAUCCAAGAGUCGCCUCAAUGGCAUACCUCAAGAAAACCAUUUCAAAAAUCAACUCAAUAUCAACCGAUUUAACUCAUUUCCAAAGCUUUAAAGAAUCAGUUCAGCAAUAAAUCAUUUAUCAAAACCAAAUCAAUUAAAGCAACCCAGGCUGAAUUUCAAGAGUAUUCUAUCUUUCACAUCGUCAAAAUAAUUGACUCAAUUCAAACCAAUCCUCAACAGAUUAAACUCAUAUUUCAAAUCUUUAAAGAAUCAACUUUAAAACAUUACAUUUCACAAAGCCGUACAACAAUUCAGCCAAGCAAACAUUCAUAAGCUUUCGAAACAAUCAAAUAAUACAUAAGGCCGAUACAAUCACCAAAUACACAUUUUCUCACAUCAGUAUCCAUAUGUAAUAAUUCCAAUACAUAAAGUAUAGUUUUAGAAAGCGCCC
rnacentral:lncRNA from 1 species